AGUGAAUCUCCUUCGGGAGUGAAGCUAGCGGCGGACGGGUCAGUAACACGUGGGCAACCUGCCUCAUAGAGGGGAAUAGCCUUUCGAAAGGAAGAUUAAUACCGCAUAAGAUUGUAGCUUCGCAUGAAGUAGCAAUUAAAGGAGCAAUCCGCUAUGAGAUGGGCCCGCGGCGCAUUAGCUAGUUGGUGAGGUAACGGCUCACCAAGGCGACGAUGCGUAGCCGACCUGAGAGGGUGAUCGGCCACAUUGGGACUGGGACACGGCCCAGACUCCUACGGGAGGCAGCAGUGGGGAAUAUUGCACAAUGGGGGAAACCCUGAUGCAGCAACGCCGCGUGAGUGAUGACGGCCUUCGGGUUGUAAAGCUCUGUCUUCAGGGACGAUAAUGACGGUACCUGAGGAGGAAGCCACGGCUAACUACGUGCCAGCAGCCGCGGUAAUACGUAGGUGGCGAGCGUUGUCCGGAUUUACUGGGCGUAAAGGGAGCGUAGGCGGACUUUUAAGUGAGAUGUGAAAUACCCGGGCUCAACUUGGGUGCUGCAUUUCAAACUGGAAGUCUAGAGUGCAGGAGAGGAGAAUGGAAUUCCUAGUGUAGCGGUGAAAUGCGUAGAGAUUAGGAAGAACACCAGUGGCGAAGGCGAUUCUCUGGACUGUAACUGACGCUGAGGCUCGAAAGCGUGGGGAGCAAACAGGAUUAGAUACCCUGGUAGUCCACGCCG
rnacentral:rRNA from 1 species